AGAGUGCCGUAAGGAACCAGAAGACAGGUGCUGCAUGGCUGUCGUCAGCUCGUGUCGUGAGAUGUUGGGUUAAGUCCCGCAACGAGCGCAACCCUCGUCGUUAGUUGCCAUCAUUAAGUUGGGAACUCUAGCGAGACUGCCGGUGACAAACCGGAGGAAGGUGAGGAUGACGUCAAGUCAGCAUGGCCCUUACGUCCUGGGCGACACACGUACUACAAUGCGAGGGACAGAGAGCAGCCAACCCGCGAGGGAGAGCGAACCUCUUAAACCCUGGCACAGUUCAGAUUGCAGGCUGCAACUCGCCUGCAUGAAGGAGGAAUCGCUAGUAAUCGCAGGUCAGCAUACUGCGGUGAAUCCGUUCCCGGGCCUU
rnacentral:rRNA from 1 species